UUAAUAUAUGUAUGCUAUGUAAUAUCAGGUUGGUCAUAUUAACCAGGAUAUACAGUACUACAUUUUCGUCGGUUAACUUGUCCACUCCUUCAGGUAGGUAGUAUUAAGGGCUGCUGGGGCCCCACCAUGUCCUCCUCAACCAGCAGGAGGUGAGGGAGUCCCCGCCUGGUGCAGGGGAGCCUGGAGACUGUAUGGCCACUCACAACCCUCGAACAACUAGGAGAGAGACACAGGAAAUGCUUGUGUCCGCCCGACUCUCCCUGCAUCCAUCCGUCCGUCUGUCCGUCCGUGCAACCAGGAUUAAGUGAACACAACUAACAACUAAGAGUGAUGGUCUGACAAGGGGUGAUAAAGUGAUACAUCAUAACAAGGAACUAUGACAAGGUCCUGUCUGGAGGGUCUUUGUCAACGUAGGACUAAGGAAAAGCUUCACCUGAACCACUCUUGAAGGAUUAGAAACCAGAGACAGCAGCCACAAAGAUUCGUCACUGCCCGCACCCUGCUGGGGGGACGCCUACAAUACUCUUCCUGCUACUGCUGGGGACGUUCUUGUUGUUGGUUAUACUGCUGCUACAGGCUAGAGACACUACUGUUGUUUUUGUUACUAGUGAAGUCGCUGUUGCUGUGAGAGGCUGGAUAUGUUUCCCUCUGGCAAGACAAGUAAGGACCUGCACAGACACACAGACUAUGACUUAACGAUAUAUCUGCCUUCUCCUAAAGCCAGGCACCAAUACGAAGGAUGAUGACUUGAAGAUGGAGGAUGCAAGAAAUGAUAGUUUUCUUCUGGUGAACUCUUCCUGCACUGCACCAAAAAACGUCAGGUUCUGGACCUUGUCAAGGAGAGGUGUGCACUCUGCUGUACCACACAUCUUGUACUGCUGUACCAGGAUGGCAAGUGAUUCACAACACAACUAAAGGACGCAGGUGCCAAGAUACAGCCCAGACCCAACCUUCCACCCCUCCUCUCUACCUCAGAUCGAGGGUGGGCUUAAUUGAAACCCACCGGUCGCUCGGAGCC
rnacentral:lncRNA from 1 species